GAUUUUGGGCGCCUUGAUGUUAAAACGGUGGUGCGGAACAUUUACAUCCUAUUUUCCAAAAGUGAAAUACCAAUAGCUGCAGAGAACCAAGAGAUUAUGGAAUUGGUGGAGCCAUCUACUCCUCUACCCCCUUGGGUAACGGAGGAAGAUCUUGCAAUCUAUGGGGCUUUGUAUGAGAAAUCUGGAUUCCAAACUGCAUUGCAAGUUCCUUAUAGGUAAUAGGCUGAUCCUACUUUUAUAUGCAAGUUCUCUUUACAUAUAUUAGUUACUUUUUGUCUCUUCCCCAACAACGCUUGUUUUCCACAAUGCUAUACUCUGCUAACAUAGAGCCGAUAGCUGGUAAAUUCUAUAGAGUUAACUAAACAUUGUUUCACCUUAUUACAGAGUGCCUGUUAGUAUGCCUUUUUUCACAUCUGUCAUAACUCCACUCCUAGAUCUGUCAUUUUCAAUUUUGUGCUCUUUUACUGGGAAAUUGGCAAUUGCAAUUUUUAUCCAAGUACUUUUGUUGAUAUAAAUGUACGGAUACUCUUACAGGGAACUUGGUAAGAAUAAUUAUGCAUCGGAUCCGAACAAUACACCUGUUCCAAAAGUUGAAGCCCCUGCACUAUAUAUAACGGGCGAGAAAGAUUACGUGUUCAAAUUUCCUGGAAUGGAGGACUACAUUAAGAGCGGAGUGGUGAAAACGUUUGUCCCCAACUUGGAAAUUAUCUACGAACCUGAAGGAACCCAUUUUAUUCAGGAGCAAUUUCCUGACAAGGUAAAUCAUCUAAUCCUCACUUUCCUCAAAAGCAACCUUCAGUCGUGAAAUUAGCAAAGGUAACUUAGUUGUGAGUGUGAUUUCCUUGGUGUUGAGUUUGUUAGAGUUCUGUAUCUUGAAUUGUUGGCUGGUGAAUGUAUGAUACAUUCCCCUCUUGUUACAAUAAAUCACAAUGUGUGCAACUUUAUUUAGUAGUAUGUGUUAGAAUUUGAGUUAAAAUAAAAGUGUGUUUUAAUAAUUAUUUUAAGUAAAUCCACAUAUCAAUGUGUUCUACUCCAUGAGUAGAUUAAAUUGAGUAUUUAUAAUCUCAAAUCCAUGAAGUAAUGAAUGAGAUAUUAACUCUCAAAGAUCACCUUUGAAAAUGAUAAAUGAUAAUAAAUAUAUGUGAGAAACUAACCCCCACAUCGGUUAAAAACUAAAAGUUUAAUAUAUUUAUAUACAAGGAAAUUGUUCUUGGGUUUGGGCAUCAAGGGGCACCCCACUGUUGUGGGUGGGAGAGGACCUAGCCAAGGCUUGGUUCGAACUCGAACACGCGCGCGGCAGACCUGGUUGCGAGUCCUUGUAUAUAAUUUUUUGCACAAAAUUUAUUUAAAUUUUUAAUUAAAAUUUAUUUUUUUUAGUUUUAAUUAUCAAAAUUGUGUCGUUUUGAUAAACAAUAUUUAUUACUAUACUACGUCGUUUUGUGAAGUGUUACUUGUCGAACGAACGCGUUUAAACUGCGUCGUUUUGGUAAAGGCUAUCUGCCUGAACAUGUGCUGCAAAACUACGUCGCUUUUGUUCCGAACGGACGCCUUUUCUGUUUAAAGCCAAAAUUACGUCGUUUUUGGCUUAAUCAUACUUUUUUAGUGGGUUGUGUCCCUUCUGAUGGGUCACUUACCCUACCAUAAAUCGAGAAGGGGGCUGUCAUUUUCAUUUAUUCAAUUUUCGAAGCAUAAUGCAAUCUAGUCUUCAUUUCACUAGUCAAUUAGAGUUAUUUUAGAGAGAGUUUAGAACAUUUUAUUUUGGUUCGUUGUGUAUGUUAUUUGGAGUGUUACUAUAACAUACAAUUGUCAUUGUUCUGGGAGACGAGUGUUAUUACGGAGGGCAUAAUUGUCUUUAAGAACAUAGUACUAAGUACUAGCUUUGACAAAUUUAUUUCUGCAAAAUAUAUAUAGUUUCCAUUCAAUUUUACUAACCGUAUGUGUCUACUUAAUAAAAAUAAAAGUAAUACAUCUUGAAUUCAGACCGAUUUUAUAAGGAAAUUUUUAUUUUCAUGGAAAAUGAAUGUUAGGUUAAAAUUUCCCGUGAAGACACGGAUGAUUAUUAAGUUUUAAUUCCCGUGAAAAAUGAGGCGGGUAUGAAGAAUUUUUCUUAAACCGGAAAUGGGAGUGGGAUGUGUAAUUUCUGCCCCGCCCGUUGCCAUUUUUAGACUGUCGUAUACAUUGAUUUUCAACAUCAUAAUAAGUCCUUGACAUUUACUACUAUUACAUAUUAUCGAAAUAAUAAUAUAUACAAGUAUUUGAGACCCUUAAUAUAGCCAAUCAUUUUUUAUACAAUUUAUAACCAACCACGUGUAUAUUUCUUGAGUUACAAAUUUUAAUAUUAUUAUUAAAAUUUUAAAAUUAAUGUGAACUAUUUUUAAACUUAAUAUUGAGAUAAUUUUAUUUAACAAUAUGAAAUUAUAAGUCAUCAUUGUAUUUGAUUAAAAUUAAAAGAAAUUUAAAUUUCAAAACAUAUUAAAUAAUACUCCCUCAAAUCUAAAAUUAAAUAUGCAUUUCUAAAAUGAUCACUUUUAAGAAUAAUUUUAUAUUCUCAAAUAUUAGCCAAUUUUUUUUUGAUAAUAUGCUAUUGAAAAUGAUAAUAAAAAAGCAAUCGCAAAUUAAAAAUAUCAAUAAUCUAUUUUUACCUCCUUUUCGUCUUGUCACUUUUUCGCACAGAGAUAAGUUGUUUGAUAAAAACUUUGAAUCUCCGUUUAACUCAGUAUGGAGAAUGGUUGGGGUAUGGUCAGAGAGAUCUCAAGGGUAAAAAAGAACUUCAAUUUUGCAGCCAAACAUCAUUAACAAACUCUUAAAAUAUAAAUUCAAAUAAAUAAAUAAACUUUAUUUUUAUAAAACAAAACUAGAAAAAAAAUUAUUUUUUAAAAGAUGUGUAAAUUUUCAUAAAAAUAAUUAAAACUUUAAUUUGUUUGAAUUUUUAUUUUAUAAAACUUUACUCAUUUUUUUAAAAAAAAUCUAAUUUUUUUCUUGAAAAUUAUAAUUAUUUUUAAAAGUUUUUAAUUUCUUUUUUUAAAAAAUUGCAUUUGUUUUUUUAUUUAAUUUUUACUAUUUUUGUAUUUUAUUUUCUAUUUUUAGUUUUUUUUUAAAAUUUAUAAUAUUAAAAAUACGUAUAAUAAUGGUAAAGACAUAUUUGGCCUUAAUAAAAUGGGUGGGAUCGGGCUAAAUUUUGGUCGAGUUACGAUUAAAUCCAGUAGAAAGAAUAGAAUUGACAAAAAUAUCACUUUAAAAAUCUAAUUAACAAAAAAUAAAUUUUAAGAACAUCUUUAGACUUUAAAAGUGAAUGAUAAUUUAAAGGCUUAAAUAUGAAUUAGUAUACUAAACUAUAGGUCAUAUUUCAUUUCGGUGAUUCACCUUUUAAUUUUGUCAAUUAAAUGAUUAAACUAUCAAUUUUUUUCAAUUUGACCAAAUUGAACAUGCCACGUCAGAAAUUGCUGACGUGGCUUAUUAUGUGGGGUCUUAAGAAGCUUAUGUGGCAAAAAAAUUUAUUUUUUAAUUAUUAAAUAAAUAAUUAUGUUUAAACAAAGAGCAAAACAGUCAAAACCUAAAUUAACAUUUCUAAUUAAUACAAAACAAACAUAUAUCAGCUGCUACCCUCAAAUGAUUUUGUUCAUUCUUUUGUGUUUAAUUGAUGAUACUUAUCUGGGAUUCACCUUCAACGCAACAGAUCUACCUUCCGAAGACUAUUACGACUACAUCAUUGUCGGCGGCGGCACUGCCAGUUGCCCACUUGUCGCGACCUUAGUAUCUCCGCAAGCGUUAAAUUGUGAUUUAAUUGUCAUUUGGACUCAGUUUCAGAUAAUAAGGUGAUCCAAGCAGAGUGGAAGAGAUGAUUUUGUAACAAGCAUGGAAGUUAUCGAGAAGAGGUUAAAGAAAAUUACUCUUUUGUUGUGGUUUCAUGUUGUGCUUCAAAUGAAUUUCAUUUUUUUUGAAGUAUAUGGUGUCUUUGUUUCCUUUGUCCUAGAUUAAGGAUGAAUCAGGGCUUCAGUUUUAAGGGUUUCUUCAUUUAGUUUUACCUCUGUUCAUAUACACAAUAUUAUUUUUUUUUCAUUAUUUUAUGCAACAGAAAAUUCAGAUGCGGGGAAGACAUUUUCCAAGUUCUAAUUAAGUUUAAUGUUUAUUGUAUUUCUUUUGGGGGUAUCAGCUAUGGUUGAAGGCCAGUGUAGUAUGUAUCUACAUAGUACAUAUGAUUUUUAAAAAUGUUUUAAUUUGCCCGAUUAAUUUUAAAAGUAGUCGUUUUCUUCCACCAUCUGCACAAGUCCAUAAAAUAAUUUAACGUAUAAACAUCAUAAACUGCAGGAGUUUUUGUUAUACAGAGCGGAGAUACAGAGCGGAGAUAUUAUAAGCAUGUCGGCGGCGUGCUGUGUUCAGAAAAUUUUUGCUUCGGUUGAGCUAGGGUUUAUCGUUCGAUUUGGGGAGAGAUGGUCUUGGUCGAUCGAUUGUAAUGGUCUACCAGCUGAUAUAUGUUUGUUUUAUAUUAAUUAGAAAUGUUAAUUUAGGUUUUGACCGUUUUGCCCUUUGUUUAAACAUAGUUGUUUAUUUAAUAAUUAAAAAAUAGUUUUUUUUUUGCCACAUAAGCUUCUUAAGGCCCCACAUAAUAAGUCACGUCAGCAAUUUUUGACGUGGUAUAUUCAAUUUGGUCCAAUUGAAAAAAAUUGAUAGUUUAAUCAUCUAAUUGAUAAAAUUAAAAGGUCAAUCACCGAAAUAGAAUAUGACCUAUAAUUUAGAGUACUAAUUCAUAUUUAAGCCUAAUUUAAAAGACACAAAAAUGUCAUUCAGUCGCAAAGCUCCAAGAUUUGGGACAAGCCAAGUUGUUGGCAGGAGGAGAAGGGAUAAUGAUGUGAGAGCUGGCUGGGUUCCAACCAACUUAUAAGUUCUUAAGUGUUUGACAAGUACUUAUUCUUAACUUAUAAAUUGAGUUUUAAGUAAAAAAAAAUAUAAUUAUUUAUGACUUAUUUAAAAAUGACUUGUGAGUUAUUUUAAAAUAAAUUAAUUUGAUCAAAUUUAAUGUUUAUUUUAUCCAUCUUUUUAUUAAUGUCUUUUUUAAUAAUUUUUACAUUUAUUUUAACUUAUAAAUUAUUAUAAGUCAAAAAAAAAAUCAUAACUUACUUUAACUUAAUUUUUGAUUUUUAAAUUAAAUUAAUGCCGAAUGUUUUUAUUUAUAAAUUAAAACUUAAAAUAACUUAUAAAUAAACUUAUAUUUUAAGUUAGAAAUCAUUUUAAAAUAAGUCAUUUCCGAACAAAAGAAGUACAAGGGUCACGACUCACGAGUGUUGAAAAAGCUUUGACCGAGAGAUACACAAAUCUUUGUAGUAUCCGAUGGUUAAAGGCCUGCUUUCCUGGACUGAUCUGAUUAGCUGGAUAAAGGCCUGCUUUCUUACCAAUAUUUGGACUGACCUGACUGAAAAGGAGAUUGAGAUGGACAAAUACUGAACUCGCAACAAAAUACCUCUUCAAUUCACUCUCUCAACUUCAAUAAUGGAGAUAAUAGAGCAUAAGUACAUAGAGGCCAAUGGACUAAAGCAUCACAUAGCUGAGAUCGGAACUCCUGCUUCGCCGGCGGUGUUGUUUCUCCACGGCUUCCCUGAGAUAUGGUACACCUGGCGCUACCAGAUGGCCGCCGUUGCUGCCGCCGGUUUCAGAGCCAUUGCGCCCGAUUAUCGUGGGUACGGACUAUCCGAUCCACCGCCCGAACCCGAGAAGGCCAGCUUUGCUGAUUUUGUCAGUGACAUGGCUGCAAUCCUUGAUGCUCUCGGCAUUACCAAGGUUUGCGGUGUAUUAUUUGUAUUACUCUGUUUCUGAAUUUUUCUGAAUUUUGAACGAAAAAAAAAGAAUAAAAAAAUUAAAUUAGAAUAGAAUAGAAAAUUUGAGGUUUUUUUUUUGUGUUUGAGUUUUUAAUAGAAAAUGAUUGAAAAUUUAAAAUUGAGGACACGAGUUGUAAUUUAAAAUCUAUUAUAUUAACGGUUGAGGAUAAUAUGCGAAUUCCAAUUUUUUUUUCGUUCAAAUUUGGACGGAAAACUUUGACCGGAAAAGUAGUCAAGUUUUCAAUUCAUUUUUUUAAUUGGAAUUUUCUUUUUUUUUGUCCAUUUUAAAACUAAAAAACAGAGCUUAAAAGGUUGUGAAUAAAUUACUUUUUGUUUUAGUGAAUAAGUUAUUUUUAUGUGUUUUUCAGUUAUUCCAUUGCUUGUGUUUAAAAUUCUUUAGUUGACUUUAAUGUAGUACUUCCUCGUUCCCUUUGAGAUUGAUCCCAGAUAAUUUAUAAAAAUGCUAAAGUUUAAAUUCUGAUGCGAAUUUUUGAAAUAACAAUUCCGUACUUGGUAAUAUUUUUAAGUAGUACAAUAAUAUUAACUAUUGCAUAAUCAAAAUAAAAUAAUUUCACAUCAAUGUUUACUCUUUCCGUAGAGUAUUAAAUAUAAUAAGUUGUUCAAUGUUCACUUAAUAAAAUCAUUACCAUAUUGUCAAAAAGUGUAGUUGGAAAAUGAUGUCUGAGUUUCAUGCAUCAGUUUCUUUUUUGAGUGGUUAUGUAUAAUGUAUUUCUAUCUCUAUAAAUGACUAGAACGAGUUUAUGAAUUUUUCUUUACACGGAGUCACUGGGGUUGUAAGUUUUUGUGAUUGAUUUCUUUUACACUAUCUGUGUGAUAUUGGGACGUAUAUAUUUGGUUGUCUUAACAACCCACUUGAAAGUAGGAGAGUAUAGUUUCCUUUCUAUAGUAGUAUAGAUUUUUCAUAUGUAUGCGUAUGGCCAUAGGUUCCCAAUACAUGUAGAAGGAAAGGUAAUUGUGGCUUAGCCAGUUACAGUUUUAAGGUAUACCCUACCACAUAUACAAAGCAUCUUCCCUAGCUGAAGAUUAAUUUCUGCUACUCUUGUACCAAAGUAAGCAAAGAAGUAUGUAGAAUCAGACGUCAUUUUUGUAUUAUACUUUACUCUCCAAAUUUCAUUUAGCAAGUUUAUCUAGUUAUUGAAAUUGGGUAGAUACAAGUUUACCUUGUUGGAAUCACGAACAGUUGAAUAUCAAUCUCAAAGGAGUGUUUGCAGCUGUGUGCUCGUAUGUGAAUGGUUCUUUAAGUUUUUAUUUGUAAGCAUUCCCUUAUCAAUCAUAUUCCAGCAAUUCUCUUUAUCUGUUAGUUAACUUCGUUGAUAAAGAGUAUCACUUUUCUGCAUUUAAUUUUAAAUUCAGAGAAAUAUUUACUAGAAUGUUGAACUUAUAUGACAAAAGGCAUAGAUAUUGUGACUUCUUUCGUACUUAGUUGUUUUGUUUGUGAACCUUCAACUUUCUCAAGAUAGCUAUCCCUACUAUAUAACUAAUCCAGAAUCCAUUGUACUGGUCUUUCCAGAGUUAUUCUAGAUAAUUUUAUCCAUAUAAUAUGAAAACAAACAUACUACAAUUAGGGACAUCGACAAAAGUAUUUACGAUAUAAUUAACUUCCUCCCGUCCGCCUCCUUUUCUUUGUUGAUAUGUAGUUAUUUAUGUUACAAUUAGAUUCCCUUUGUGAAUAAACAUACUUUCUGCUGUGAGCGAUCCCUUUGCAACAUUUAAUAUUCCAGAACCCAUUUGUGUUUCAAAAGUUUUAAUGGAGAAAACAAACUGGUGGUUGCUUGCCUUUUAUACAGGAAUGAGUGUUUUCAUCUGUCAAUAAGUACAUCAUCAGAUGCCCAGCAAGUAGUCCUAAUAAUUUAAGUGAUUUUAAAAGAGAAUGUGAUCUCCAGCUCCUUUAUUACAGGUUUUUGUUAUUGGUCAAGAUUUUGGAGCGAUGGUUGCUUACCAGUUUGCCCUUUGCCAUCAAGAGAGGAUCCUUGGAAUUGCAACGCUGGGUGUGCCAUUCAUGCCACCACGUCCACAUGAAGACCGUAAAACCCUCCCUGAAGGCUUCUAUAUUACAAGAUGGCAGGUAACUAGUAGUUUUCUGUGUUUUGCUUGUUCGGAACAGAGUUAUUUUUUGGUACUUGUAACUUUCCUAUCCCAAUUUAUAUUUAGGAACCUGGACGAGCUGAAGCUGAUUUUGGGCGCCUUGAUGCUAAAACGGUGGUGCGGAACAUUUACAUCCUAUUUUCCAAAAGUGAAAUACCAAUAGCUGCAGAGAACCAAGAGAUUAUGGAUUUGGUGGAGCCAUCUACUCCUCUACCCCCUUGGGUAACGGAGGAAGAUCUUGCAAUCUAUGGGGCUUCGUAUGAGAAAUCUGGAUUCCAAACUGCAUUGCAAGUUCCUUAUAGGUAAUAAGCUGAUCCUACUUUUAUAUGCAAGUUCCCUUUAUAUGUAUUAGUUGCUUUUUGUCUCUUCCCCAACAACGCUCAUUUUCCACAAUGCUAUACUCUGCUAACAUAAAGCCGAUAGCUGGUAAAUUCCAUAGAGUUAACUAAACAUCGUUUCAACUUAUUACAGGAUGCCUGUUAGUAUGCCUUUUUUCACAUCUGUCAUAACUCCACUCCUAGAUCUGUCUUUUUCAAUUUUGUGCUAUUUUACUGGGAAAUUGGCAAUUGCAAUUUUUAUCUAAGUACUUUUGUUGAUAUAAAUGUACGGAUACUCUUGCAGGGAACUUGGUAAGAAUAAUUAUGCAUCGGAUCCGAACAAUACACCUGUUCCAAAAGUUGAAGCCCCUGCACUAUAUAUAACGGGCGAGAAAGAUUAUGUGUUCAAAUUUCCUGGAAUGGAGGAGUACAUUAAGAGCGGAGCGGUGAAAACGUUUGUCCCCAACUUGGAGAUUAUCUACGUACCUGAAGGAACCCAUUUUAUUCAGGAGCAAUUUCCUGACAAGGUAAAUCAGCUAAUCCUCACUUUCCUCAAAAGCAACCUUGAGUCAUGAAAGUAGCAAAGGUAACUUAGUUGCGAGUGCGAUUUCCUUGGUGUUGAGUUUGUUAGAGUUCUGCAUCUUGAAUUGUUGGCUGAUGAAUGUAAUGAUACAUUUCCCUCUUGUUACAAUAAAUCACAAUGUGUGCAACUUUAUUUAGUAGUAUAUGUACCUACUUGAUAAAAAUAAAAGUAAUGCAUCUUGAAUUCAGACUGAUUUCAAGGAAAAUGAAUGUUAAGGUUAAUUUCACUUUUUGGUAGUUUAGCUGGGAAAAAACAUUUAUACAAUGUUCUUCUCUAGAUAGAUCAUAGAUAGCUAGGGAAGAUGAGGAAAUUAGUGGAAACAUCUACACCUCUUGGUUCAGUGAGAAAGAUGUUGCUACCUAUGGAGAUUUUGGCUGUCAAGUUGAGUAGUAAAUUAUUGUUGUAAGAAUCACUAUGCUAUUAUGUGAUACAAAUCAAU
rnacentral:lncRNA from 1 species